rnacentral:rRNA from 1 species
AUUGAACGCUGGCGGCAGGCCUAACACAUGCAAGUCGAGCGGAUGAAGGGAGCUUUCUCCUGGAUUCAGCGGCGGACGGGUGAGUAAUGCCUAGGAAUCUGCCUGGUAGUGGGGGAUAACGUCCGGAAACGGGCGCUAAUACCGCAUACGUCCUGAUGGAGAAAGUGGGGGAUCUUCGGACCUCACGCUAUCAGAUGAGCCUAGGUCGGAUUAGCUAGUUGGUGGGGUAAAGGCCUACCAAGGCGACGAUCCGUAACUGGUCUGAGAGGAUGAUCAGUCACACUGGAAGUGAGACAGGGACCAGACUCCUAAGGGAGGCAGCAGUCGGGAAUAUUGGACAAUGGGCGAAAGCCUGAUCCAGCCAUGCCGCGUGUGUGAAGAAGGUCUUCGGAUUGUAAAGAACUUUAAGUUGGGAGGAAGGGCAGUAAGUUAAUACCUUGCUGUUUUGACGUUACCAACAGAAUAAGCACCGGCUAACUUCGUG